rnacentral:rRNA from 1 species
UACAGAGGUGGCAAGCGUUGUUCGGAAUUACUGGGCGUAAAGGGCGCGUAGGCGGCCUUCUAAGUCAGACGUGAAAUCCCCCGGCUUAACCUGGGAACUGCGUCUGAUACUGGGAGGCUUGAGUAUGGGAGAGGGAUGUAGAAUUCCGAGGUGUAGCGGUGAAAUGCGUAGAUAUCUGGAGGAAUACCGGUGGCGAAGGCGGCAUCCUGGACCAUAACUGACGCUGAGGCGCGAAAGCUAGGGGAGCAAACGGGGAUUAGAAAACCCCCGGUAG